rnacentral:rRNA from 1 species
AAUCAACGCUGGCGGCGUGCCUCAGACAUGCAAGUCGAACGCGAAAGUUCCCUUCGGGGAGCGAGUAGAGUGGCGCACGGGUGAGUAACACGUAGGUAAUCUACCCUCGAGUGGGGAAUAACUCAGGGAAACUUGAGCUAAUACCGCAUAAUGCAGCGGCACCACAUGGUGACAGUUGUUAAAGCAUUUAUGCGCUUGGGGAGGAGCCUGCGGCAGAUUAACUAGUUGGUAAGGUAAUGGCUUACCAAGGCAACGAUCUGUAACCGGCCUGAGAGGGCGGACGGUCACACUGACACUGAAUAACGGGUCAGACUCCUACGGGAGGCAGCAGUCGGGAAUUUUGGGCAAUGGGCGAAAGCCUGA